UUGCGCAGAUGUUGUUAGUGACAACGAGGAUAUUGUGGAAACCUAACAUGGACCAUGAUCGGAACAGUUUCAGAAUGAAUACGACGGUGAUCUACAACGGUGCAAGCACCAUGGAUAACAUCAUCGGUUUUGAAUUUGAAAGAUACAGCAAGGCGAUGAAUAUCAAUAUGAAUAGCGACAGUGACGUUUCGCCAGUGACUUUAUCAUCGGCCUGGUCCAGAGUGGCCCGACUUUUGCUGCUGGCCUCCCUCGCCGUAGGCGGGAGCGUGGGUAAUGUCUUCAUGAUAUCCGCCGUCGUAGUGGAGGAUCAGCUGAACAAGCGAGGAAACGCAUUCCUCGUGAACGUGGCGCUGGCGGAUUUGCUGGUGACUGGUCUGGUAAUACCGGUCUCGGUGAUCGUAAUCCUGGCGGGUUACGCGGAGUCCCUGGGUGCUUGCCGAUUCGAGUGGACCCUCGAGGCUCUUUGCUUCCUGGUGACCGUACUAACGUUGGCCACAAUCGCCGCCGAAAAUUACGCACGUCUGUGUCUGCCCGCCGAAAGAUACGCCAGUUUGACGGCAGGUCGUGUAACAGCCAUAAUUAUCGUCGUCUGGCUAAUCGCUAUGACUGUGGUGGCUUUGCAAUCGUCUUUGGACAUAGGUCCUGACUUUUGCCGUCGCAGGCUCAGCGGUAUUGCGAUGGAACAAGCGGUGGGAGCAAGUAUAUUGGUUGGACUGCCAGCUUUGACGACCAUCUUCCUCUACGUGAAGCUGGUGAUACGUGUGCGACGAGCCACGAGAGGCUCAUAUAAACCGCCAGCCGCCUUCUCCUGGGACUAUGAGCUCACGAAGACGAAUAUGUGCAGCUGCGUGAUGUUCGUCGUGUUCUGGUUGCCAUUCGGCCUGGCGGUCUGCGUGAAUUCCUUCGUUCCGGUGAGCACACGUGUACUUUACAACCUGGCCUGGUUCGCCCUGUCCAAGUCCUGCUUCAACAAUCUGCUCUACUGCGUGGCGGACCGUCACUUUCGCAGUGCUUACGUCAAACUUUUUCACUACUGCUGCUGUAAGACCACGAGAGAAGCCCGAUGGGAUUUCCGCCUCGUGGAUUUUCCGGAAAGAUGGUUCUUCGCGCGUGACAAACGAAACCACCGGUUUAUCGUCGGCUCGAGCACCGCGGGUAGGGCCAUGCAACAAGAACAUCGCAAAUCGCAUCAAACGACUCAACCAUAAACCAUAAACGAAGUGGACAAGAAUAUAUCUUGCGAAGACUGUGGAACGUAGCAAGGUUCCCUUGUAACAGUUCAGCCAACCAAACAGCUGUGACGAGCUAUAAAAACGUAGGCAUGCGUUCGUGGCGACAGCGACGGCGGCGGCUUCAGCGACGUACGAGCUGGGUUCGAUAAGAGCGUG
rnacentral:misc_RNA from 1 species